ACUCAAGGGUUAAGGGCUUUAUUGCAUAGCUUUUCAAUUUCUUAAACAUCUAGGCCUCGUUUCUUUUCAGAGUUGAAACACAAACAUUUUCUAGUUUUGUACAGAUAAACGAUUUGUGAAAACAAGCGAUAAGAAAUAAGCUUUCAUCUCAUCUUCAACUUAUUCCAUCAAUGCAUCUUGAUUGAACCCAUACGCUGACCAUUGAAGACUAAAAAAGAAAAAACACUAACCACUUCCUAUCAACUGAUAGACCUGCGUGCCUCUCUCUUCUCUCCUCGUCUAUCUACCUCUCUCAUUUGCCCUCAUUUUCCCGUUACACAAAGUGCUUCCUUUGUUACAUAGAGUGCCUCCUUCCUUCCCCAACCUCGAACACUACAUUUUUAUCAAGCUGCCUAAAACUUAUGCUCACUCACAGACUCUGCCUUAUGUUGCCCCUGUUGUACCAUGCGAAAAUUGGCCAAAAGCCCAACCAAAAUCUCAUAUAAUCUCAUUCUCCCCUCUACAAGAAUAGUCCCUUCGCAUGCCUUCAAAUAGUUGAGAUUCCCGUCCCAUCUUGGGUAGUGAGUUCAACUUUACCUGCAACUUAUUUCACCCCUAUGAAUCUUGGCAUAUGCAUUGCAGUGGGUUUGUCCACAUUUUUGGGGUUGUAGGGUCAUUUGGGUCUCUAUUAUAGAGGAAAAUGGGUAUAAAUUGAUGAUGCCCAAGCCGAGCCUAUCAACCAUAACCAAUCGAUUCUCAUGGAGCAUCAUUGUCCCCAACUCUUGCCAUAAAGGCCAUGGCACUCUUAGCUCAGGCACGAUGGCUCUAGAGACACGAUCCUACUAGGUUCAUCAAGCUAUCCUUCAUCAAGUGUGUUCUGCAAUGGUGUUUGAUACAAACUAAGUGAAGGGCAAAAUAUAAAGGUUGAAAAGGCAGCGACAAUUCACCGAUCUGAUGGGCCAAACUGGUAUAAGAUGGGACCUCGACACCAAAACAGUGAUAGACAGUGAUGAACACUGGACAAAUUCCAUUAAGGAAAAAUCAGACUGGAAGUAGUUCUGGACCAUGGGCUGCCGCAGAAACCUCCUCCACUCCCUCUUUCACUGAAGCUUAGUCCAAAAACUACCGAUCUGCUCACCUGGUUCAAGGUCUGUAUGGCCACCUUCUUCGGCGUGCACUCUCUCCAUGUAACUACCUGAGCAUUUCGUGCUAAUCUGGAUUUCAUUUGCUCUGAGACCUUACUUCAUGUGCUCUGAGAUUUCAUUUUUGACUGUGCAACCUCACUUCAUGUGGUUUAGAAAUAAGAGCCAUUGAUGGACAACAUAAAUUUAGAAAUUGGUUCCUUAGUACGAAAGAGGGUUAGUCAAAAUAUGAUUUACAUAAAUUUGAUAAUUGGUCACUUCAUGUGAUUUGAACUGAUUCAAGAAUGCCAAACCACCCAAACUAAUUGGUCACAGUGGUCAAUGGCUCUUCUUGCAAAUAUUUUCUACUAAAUGUAUUCAAUUUCAAGUGAAAUGAAAAUAAUUAUUGUUUAGUUUUCUUUAGAAUCUUGUAAUAUUUGUUAAUGGUCUUGAGUCAGUAAGUUGUUUGGCAUGAGUUUCAAUGAAGUGAGAGAGUGAAUCUGUACAAA